rnacentral:rRNA from 1 species
GUGGGGAAUCUUGCGCAAUGGGCGAAAGCCUGACGCAGCCAGGCCGCGUGAAUGAUGAAGGUCUUAGGAUUGUAAAAUUCUUUCACCGGGGACGAUAAUGACGGUACCCGGAGAAGAAGCUCCGGCUAACUUCGUGCCAGCAGCCGCGGUAAUACGAAGGGGGCUAGCGUUGCUCGGAAUUACUGGGCGUAAAGGGCGCGUAGGCGGACAGCUUAGUCAGAGGUGAAAGCCCAGGGGUCAACCUUGGAAUUGCCUUUGAUACUGGCUGUCUUGAGUUUGGGAGAGGUGAGUGGAACUCCGAGUGUAGAGGUGAAAUUCGUAGAUAUUCGGAAGAACACCAGUGGCGAAGGCGACUCACUGGCCCAAUACUGACGCUGAGGCGCGAAAGCGUGGGGAGCAAACAGGAUUAGAAACCCUUGUAGUCC